UGAGGAAUAUUGGGCAAUGCCCGAAAGGGUGACCCAGCAACGCCGCGUGGAGGAUGAAGGUCGUAAGAUUGUAAACUCCUGUUAGAGGGGAAGAAUAACUAAGUUUGGAGCUUAGUAUGACUGUACCCUCAGAGAAAGCCCCGGCUAACUACGUGCCAGCAGCCGCGGUAAUACGUAGGGGGCAAGCGUUGUCCGGAUUUAGUGGGUGUAAAGGGCGCGCAGGCGGAAUGGAAAGUCAGUGGUGAAAUCCUACAGCUUAACUGUAGAACUGCCUUUGAUACUGUUAUUCUUGAGUGCGGGAGAGAGAGACGGAAUUCCAGGUGUAGUGGUGAAAUACGUAGAUAUCUGGAAGAACACCAGUUGCGAAGGCGGUCUCUUGGUCCGACACUGACGCUGAGGCGCGAAAGCGUGGGGAGCAAACA
rnacentral:rRNA from 1 species